AGUGGCUCAUUCACCGACUUAUGUCAGCCCCUUCGGGACGUGCUACAUAAAAUUCGAAUGACGCACAACAAGGUGCCUGCCGUCCAACUUCUGAUAUCAGCGUAGCUAUAUCAACCCUCGGGCGAAACGUCGAGUUAGGCACCGCCUU
rnacentral:sRNA from 15 species